AUAUAAAUAUAUGUGUGUAUACCACAUGUAUACCAUAUAUAUAUAUAUAUGGUAUACAUGUGGUAUACACACACACACACACAC
rnacentral:pre_miRNA from 10 species